rnacentral:rRNA from 1 species
ACAGGGGGUGCAUGGUUGUCUUCACCUCGUGUCUUGAGAUGUUGGGUUAAGUCCCGCAACGAGCGCAACCCUUAAGCUUAGUUGCCAUCAUUAAGUUGGGCACUCUAGGUUGACUGCCGGUGACAAACCGGAGGAAGGUGGGGAUGACGUCAAAUCAUCAUGCCCCUUAUGAUUUGGGCUACACACGUGCUACAAUGGACAAUACAAAGGGCAGCUAAACCGCGAGGUCAUGCAAAUCCCAUAAAGUUGUUCUCAGUUCGGAUUGUAGUCUGCAACUCGACUACAUGAAGCUGGAAUCGCUAGUAAUCGUAGAUCAGCAUGCUACGGUGAAUACGUUCCCGGGUCUUGUACACACCGAAAA